rnacentral:rRNA from 1 species
CCUACGGGGGGCAGCAGUGGGGAAUAUUGCACAAUGAGCGCAAGCCUGAUGCAGCCAUGCCGCGUGUGUGAAGAAGGCCUUCGGGUUGUAAAGCACUUUCAGCGGGGAGGAAGGCGUUAAGGUUAAUAACCUUGUCGAUUGACGUUACCCGCAGAAGAAGCACCGGCUAACUCCGUGCCAGCAGCCGCGGUAAUACGGAGGGUGCAAGCGUUAAUCGGAAUUACUGGGCGUAAAGCGCACGCAGGCGGUCUGUCAAGUCGGAUGUGAAAUCCCCGGGCUCAACCUGGGAACUGCAUUCGAAACUGGCAGGCUAGAGUCUUGUAGAGGGGGGUAGAAUUCCAGGUGUAGCGGUGAAAUGCGUAGAGAUCUGGAGGAAUACCGGUGGCGAAGGCGGCCCCCUGGACAAAGACUGACGCUCAGGUGCGAAAGCGUGGGGAGCAAACAGGAGUAGAUACCCGAGUAGUC